rnacentral:rRNA from 1 species
UUUAUGGAGAGUUUGAUCCUGGCUCAGGACGAACGCUGGCGGCGUGCUUAACACAUGCAAGUCGAACGGAAAGGCCUCAGCUUGCUGGGGUACUCGAGUGGCGAACGGGUGAGUAACACGUGGGUGAUCUGCCUCGUACUUCGGGAUAAGCCUGGGAAACUGGGUCUAAUACUGGAUAGGACCAUGCUUUAGUGUGUGUGGUGGAAAGUUUUUUCGGUACGAGAUGAGCCCGCGGCCUAUCAGCUUGUUGGUGGGGUAAUGGCCUACCAAGGCGUCGACGGGUAGCCGGCCUGAGAGGGUGGACGGCCACAUUGGGACUGAGAUACGGCCCAGACUCCUACGGGAGGCAGCAGUGGGGAAUAUUGCACAAUGGGCGCAAGCCUGAUGCAGCGACGCCGCGUGGGGGAUGACGGCCUUCGGGUUGUAAACCUCUUUCGCUAGGGACGAAGCUUUUUGUGACGGUACCUAGAUAAGAAGCACCGGCUAACUACGUGCCAGCAGCCGCGGUAAUACGUAGGGUGCGAGCGUUGUCCGGAAUUACUGGGCGUAAAGAGCUCGUAGGUGGUUUGUCGCGUCGUCUGUGAAAUUCCGGGGCUUAACUUCGGGCGUGCAGGCGAUACGGGCAUAACUUGAGUGCUGUAGGGGAGACUGGAAUUCCUGGUGUAGCGGUGGAAUGCGCAGAUAUCAGGAGGAACACCGAUGGCGAAGGCAGGUCUCUGGGCAGUAACUGACGCUGAGGAGCGAAAGCAUGGGGAGCGAACAGGAUUAGAUACCCUGGUAGUCCAUGCCGUAAACGGUGGGCGCUAGGUGUAGGGGUCUUCCACGACUUCUGUGCCGUAGCUAACGCAUUAAGCGCCCCGCCUGGGGAGUACGGCCGCAAGGCUAAAACUCAAAGGAAUUGACGGGGGCCCGCACAAGCGGCGGAGCAUGUGGAUUAAUUCGAUGCAACGCGAAGAACCUUACCUGGGCUUGACAUAUGCAGGAUCGGCGUAGAGAUACGUUUUCCCUUGUGGUCUGUAUACAGGUGGUGCAUGGUUGUCGUCAGCUCGUGUCGUGAGAUGUUGGGUUAAGUCCCGCAACGAGCGCAACCCUUGUCUUAUGUUGCCAGCACGUGAUGGUGGGGACUCAUGAGAGACUGCCGGGGUUAACUCGGAGGAAGGUGGGGAUGACGUCAAAUCAUCAUGCCCCUUAUGUCCAGGGCUUCACACAUGCUACAAUGGUCGGUACAACGCGCUGCGAGCCUGUGAGGGUGAGCGAAUCGCUGAAAGCCGGCCUCAGUUCGGAUUGGGGUCUGCAACUCGACCCCAUGAAGUCGGAGUCGCUAGUAAUCGCAGAUCAGCAACGCUGCGGUGAAUACGUUCCCGGGCCUUGUACACACCGCCCGUCACGUCAUGAAAGUUGGUAACACCCGAAGCCAGUGGCCUAACCUUUGUGGGAGGAGCUGUCGAAGGUGGGAUCGGCGAUUGGGACGAAGUCGUAACAAGGUAGCCGUACCGGAAGGUGCGGCUGGAUCACCUCCUUU